rnacentral:rRNA from 1 species
AUACGGAAGGUGCGAGCGUUAUCCGGAUUCAUUGGGUUUAAAGGGAGCGUAGGCGGAGCGCCAAGUCAGCUGUGAAAUCCCGCGGCUCAACCGUGGAACUGCAGUUGAAACUGGCGCCCUUGAGUGCACAUGAGGAUGGCGGAAUUCGUGGUGUAGCGGUGAAAUGCUUAGAUAUCACGAAGAACCCCGGUUGCGAAGGCAGCUGGCUGGGGUGCCACGGACGCUGAGGCUCGAAAGUGCUGGUAUCAAACAGGAUUAGAUACCCUGGUAGUCCGCACAGUAAACGAUGGACACUCGUGGUCGGCGACACACUGCCGGUCACCAAGCGAAAGCGAUAAGUGUCCCACCUGGGGAGUACGCCGGCAACGGUGAAACUCAAAUGAAUUGACGGGG